CUGAGGAGGAGGAGGAGGAGGAAGAUGGAAGGAAGGGAUGGAAAGAGGGGAGGGGAGGAGGGGAGGGGAGGGGAGGGGAAGGGAAGGGAGACGAGAUCAAGGCGGGAAGACAAGCUAGUAGUAAGGAUGGUCAUACAAGAUACAGCUGAUCACUUGGCUCCCAGGCAAGGCAGCAGUGGGCUAGGAGGGGCUGGAAGGGGCUGGGAGGAAUGCUGGGAGCCCCACUCCUGAGUGCACGUAGGCAGAGUGGGGCGUGGGACUCAUUCCUGGAGACUCUGUGGGGCAUACAGUCCCUGGGGACCCUGAAGAUCCUCCCUCAGUGUUCCACC
rnacentral:lncRNA from 1 species